AUGGCUCAGGAUGAACGCUAGCUACAGGCUUAACACAUGCAAGUCGAGGGGCAUCAUUGGGAUAGCUUGCUAUUCAGAUGGCGACCGGCGCACGGGUGAGUAACGCGUAUCCGACCUCCCCUUAGUAGGGCAUAGCCGGCGAAAGUCGGAUUAAUACCCUAUGUUGUAUAUUGAGGACAUCUGAUUUAUACCAAAGAUUCAUCGCUAAGGGAUGGGGAUGCGUCCGAUUAGGUAGUCGGCGGGGCAACGGCCCACCGAGCCGUCGAUCGGUAGGGGUUCUGAGAGGAAGGUCCCCCACACUGGUACUGAGACACGGACCAGACUCCUACGGGAGGCAGCAGUGAGGAAUAUUGGUCAAUGGGCGAGAGCCUGAACCAGCCAAGUAGCGUGCAGGAAGACGGCCCUAUGGGUUGUAAACUGCUUUUAUCAGGGGAUAGAGUGAGGGACGUGUCCCUUAUUGCAGGUACCUGAUGAAUAAGGACCGGCUAAUUCCGUGCCAGCCGCCGC
rnacentral:rRNA from 1 species